rnacentral:lncRNA from 1 species
UCGCUUUAGAGAUUAUCAUCUCCAAAUGGAAGCAUUGCAUCCCCUCCAUCAUUGCCCAAGUCAAAAGCCCAAUCUUGAUUCUCCAUCAUUCCUUUGACAUCAUCACCCACAGUUGCAAUCUCUCCAUUGAAAGCUUCUGCUCCAUUUGGUGCCAUUAUUGUGACAUGUUAAGUUUCAUCCUUACCCUUUUUCCAUUCAUCAAUAUCCAUCAGAUUCUGGUCUAAUGCUCACAAGAGGUAAUUCAUAUCAACAAUGUUAGCAUUGGCUAUGAGUGCAUUUCUCAACCAAAAUGUAUUCAUAGUGGUGGCUAGAAGAUAAGAAAGAAAUGGGCAAGAAGAAAAGAAGAAACUUG